rnacentral:rRNA from 1 species
UGCAAGUCGAACGGAAACGAUGGGAGCUUGCUCCCAGGCGUCGAGUGGCGGACGGGUGAGUAAUACUUAGGAAUCUACCCAGUAGCGGGGGACAACUCGAGGAAACUCGAGCUAAUACCGCAUACGCCCUACGGGGGAAAGCAGGGGAUCUUCGGACCUUGCACUAUUGGAUGAGCCUAAGUCGGAUUAGCUUGUUGGUGGUAAAGGCUCACCAAGGCGACGAUCCGUAGCUGGUCUGAGAGGACGAUCAGCCACACUGGGACUGAGACACGGCCCAGACUCCUACGGGAGGCAGCAGUGGGGAAUAUUGGACAAUGGGGGCAACCCUGAUCCAGCAAUGCCGCGUGUGUGAAGAAGGCCUGCGGGUUGUAAAGCACUUUCAGUAGAGAAGAAAAGCCUACGGUUAAUACCCGUAAGUCUUGACGUUACCUACAGAAGAAGCUCCGGCUAACUCCGUGCCAGCAGCCGCGGUAAUACGGAGGGAGCGAGCGUUAAUCGGAAUUACUGGGCGUAAAGCGCGCGUAGGCGGCUUUGUAAGUCGGAUGUGAAAGCCCUGGGCUCAACCUGGGAAUGGCAUUCGAUACUGCAGAGCUAGAGUAUGGUAGAGGGAAGUGGAAUU